ACGCGAGCUGGGUUCAGAACGUCGUGAGACAGUUCGGUACCUAUCCGUCGCAGGCGUAGGAAAUUUGAGAAGACAUGGCCUCAGUACGAGAGGACCGGGAUGGACGUACCUCUGGUGUACCAGUGGUCCUGCAAAGGGCAUGGCUGGGUAGCUAUGUACGGAAUGGAUAAGCGCUGAAAGCAUCUAAGCGCGAAGCCAACUUCAA
rnacentral:rRNA from 1 species